GGCCUGGGUAAUGGAAGCUUGAGGAAGUGACCUCACUUCCUUGGUGACAGACCCUAACAGAACUUAGCAUGCUGGUCUCCAGGCGCCCACAUUCUAGACAUAGCCUCCUAUUGAGCUCACUUGAAUGGAGAAACUCAAGAGAGCAGAAUUCUCUCCUGUUGUCUCCCUACUUGUCGGGGCUCUGGCUUCAGGAAAGCCAAGAAACAGAGCCUUUUCAGUCGCUACACACACUGGCUUGGCCCACACCUGCACCACCUCUGGCCAUUUUGCAGGAGGAGCCCUCAGAGCUGCAUGCAGGAGGUGGUUGAAGAGCUGGCGGAUGGCUUCGGGUACUCCAUCUCCCUGGACAGGGGGCAGCUGCACUGCGCCACCAUCAAUAACCAGGGCUGCUCUGAGAGUGAAGAUGAGUCCACUCUGUCUGUAACUGAGGCCUGCAGGAUGCGUGCCCUCCAGGCAGGCAUGAUGCAGAGGCUCUCAGAGUCUGUGGUGCCAGCCUUCCCCAGUAGAGUCCUCUGCAGUGUCAUCACCUCCCUCUGCAGCUACUCAGGCUCCAGCACAUCCCACCAGGUCCUGGAUCAGC